GGAGACAGUUGCCCAGGCACUGUCCCGAAGAUCCCUCCAGCUCCCUGUGCGGGUUCCCGCCCCUGGGGGGCCCACUUGGGGCCUAGCAGUUCUCACCUUCUUCGCACUCCAGGCAGCCCUCAGGACAGUUGCUGUGCGACUUGGACAGUAGAGGAGCGCCUCCCAAGUUUUCAUCCAACUGCCACCCCCAAAGCUUCCACCCUCCUCCCCUCAGAGAGAGGACGUUUGAUGCCCGGCCCCUGAGAUUCUCAUUGGCCAGCCCCUCUGGGUCCCCCUGAGCAGAGCCUGCCGACCCAAUUGCCCAUCUUUGCGGCUUUGAUGCUUAACCAUGUCUGCCUCAUCCUCAGGCGGCUCCCCCAGGUUUCCAUCGUGUGGGAAGAACGGAGUAACGAGUCUCACACAGAAAAAAGUCUUGAGAACACCUUGUGGCGCACCCAGUGUAACUGUUACGAAGUGAACCAUGAAGGACCGAUCUUCAACUCCCCCCUUACAUGUUCACGUGGAUGAGAACACUCCUGUCCACGUCCACAUAAAAAAACUCCCGAAACCGUCAGCAGCCAGCAGCCAGAAAUCUCAUAAGCGCGGAAUGAAAGGGGACACCGUGAAUGUACGGCGGAGUGUCCGGGUGAAAACCAAGGUACCUUGGAUGCCCCCUGGAAAAUCAUCUGCCCGGCAUGUGGGAUGCAAGUGGGAGAAUCCACCUCAUUGCCUGGAGAUCACACCACCAUCUUCAGAAAAGCUGGUCUCGGUGAUGCGAUUAAGUGACCUUUCUACAGAAGACGACGAUUCAGGUCACUGUAAAAUGAACCGUUACGAUAAGAAGAUUGACAGUCUAAUGAACGCGGUCGGUUGUCUCAAAUCUGAGGUCAAGAUGCAGAAAGGUGAACGCCAAAUGGCCAAAAGGUUCCUGGAGGAGAGGAAGGAAGAGCUGGAGGAGGUGGCACACGAGCUUGCAGAGACGGAGCAUGAGAACACGGUGCUCAGACACAACAUCGAGCGUAUCAAGGAGGAGAAGGACUUCACCAUGCUUCAAAAGAAACACCUCCAGCAGGAGAAGGAAUGCCUCAUGUCCAAACUAGUGGAGGCUGAAAUGGAUGGAGCAGCUGCUGCCAAGCAGGUCAUGGCCUUGAAGGAUACCAUCGGGAAGCUGAAAACCGAGAAACAGAUGACUUGCACCGACAUCAACACCUUAACAAGGCAGAAGGAACUUCUCCUGCAGAAGCUGAGUACCUUUGAGGAGACCAAUCGCACCCUCCGAGAUCUGUUGAGGGAACAGCACUGCAAAGAGGAUUCCGAGAGACUAAUGGAGCAACAAGGUACAUUACUGAAGCGUCUGGCAGAGGCAGACUCAGAGAAAGCGCGCCUGCUGUUACUACUGCAAGACAAGGACAAGGAGGUGGAAGAACUCCUCCAGGAGAUACAAUGUGAAAAGGCUCAAGCAAAGACAGCGUCUGAGCUUUCCAAGUCCAUGGAGUCCAUGCGGGGGCAUUUGCAGGCACAGCUUCGCUGCAAAGAGGCUGAGAACAGUCGCCUGUGCAUGCAGAUCAAGAACUUAGAGCGCAGUGGGAACCAGCAUAAGGCGGAAGUAGAGGCCAUCAUGGAGCAGCUAAAGGAACUGAAGCAGAAGGGAGACCGAGACAAAGAGACCCUAAAGAAGGCCAUCCGAGCCCAGAAAGAGCGAGCCGAGAAGAGUGAGGAGUAUGCCGAGCAGCUGCAUGUGCAACUGGCCGACAAGGACCUUUAUGUUGCUGAAGCUUUAUCUACUCUGGAGUCUUGGAGGAGCCGUUACAACCAGGUUGUGAAGGACAAAGGAGAUCUUGAGUUGGAGAUUAUCGUCCUAAAUGACCGGGUGACAGAUCUUGUAAACCAACAACAAAGCUUGGAGGAGAAGAUGCGGGAAGACCGGGACAGCUUGGUAGAGAGGCUGCACCGGCAGACGGCUGAGUACUCUGCAUUCAAGCUAGAGAACGAGAGGCUCAAGGCUAGCUUUGCCCCUAUGGAGGACAAGCUCAACCAGGCUCACUUGGAGGUUCAGCAGCUGAAGGCGUCAGUGAAGAACUACGAGGGGAUGAUAGACAACUACAAGAGCCAGGUGAUGAAAACAAGAUUGGAGGCUGAUGAAGUGGCUGCACAGCUAGAGCGCUGCGACAAAGAGAACAAGAUGCUUAAAGACGAGAUGAACAAAGAGAUCGAGGCGGCCCGUCGGCAGUUCCAGUCACAGCUGGCUGACCUACAACAGCUGCCUGACAUCCUCAAGAUCACGGAGGCCAAGCUGGCUGAGUGCCAAGACCAGCUGCAGGGCUACGAGAGGAAGAACAUCGACCUCACAGCCAUCAUUUCAGACCUGCGCAGCCGGGUAAGGGACUGGCAGAAGGGAUCCCACGAACUGGCCCGAGCAGGGGCCCGCUUACCGAGAUGAGCUGCACGCCCCCCAAGGGAGGACCACUUCCUUUUUCUUGGCUGCCGAUUUCUGAAAGGAGUGAGCUAUCAUCAGUGCUGUGAAAUAAAAGUCUGGUGUGCCAAACCCUGCGUGUUGCACAAAGUGAUUAUAGCUUAUAGACUCGCCACUGCCCUGCUAUGGCCGGCCACGCUCUGCCUGCUUCUGCCUUGCAUAUCCUGCCGCCGUCCUCCGACCUACAGCCACAGAGAGGACACGCAGAAGAUCUGUGGCACCCACCGCUUGUCCACUGUUCCAUUUUUCUCAAGCUUUAACUGCCUCUCCUUGUUUUCCACAGAUCUACUUACCUAGGAUUCUCUUCUGAGAGAAGCAAGCAGCCCCUUUGUCCAGAAGCUGUCUGUCUCUCAGUUUCUGGAACCGUACCCUGCACUGUUCAAGACAUGACACAGAACUCACUUAAAUCUGACAUCGGCGGUCUCUUAUCUUUUCUCUUUAAAGUCUUUCUUUUGUUUGCUUUUGUUUUUUUGAAACAGGCUGCUUUGAAAUUACUGUGUAGCCAAGAAUGAUCUUAAACUCUUAAUCCUGCCUCUACCCCCAAAAGUGCUGGAGUCUCCUGACGUGUCAGCUUCUGAGCACCCACGCUGCCCCAUGGGCUCUUCCUUCAGUAACACCCUGAGACCUAGAAGGGAAGGAAACAAGAGUCCCUAUGUCACAGAGAUGCUCAGUAUUCACAGGGAUUUGAAUCCAUGGCUUUCAGACUGUUGAAUGUUCUUGGGGUCUCUUGAGCUCUCGCAUAAUGCAGGAUUGGUAAAGCUUGGGGUUUGUUGUACAAUGUGCUGCUAACGCCCCAUGUCUACUACAGUCCCCGUGGGGCUUCUGCAGCCCUCUUGUCAUCGGGAACCAGCAUCUAACCUGUGUUCUCCCAUUGUGAGGGGGUGGAGCGGGUCUGUCCCAUCCCUGUUCUCUUAUCUCUUCCAGGUUGUUGGUUGAAUAUGGGACACCUGCUGAGGGCAGUCUGCCUCUUUCCUGGGUGUGGAUGCUGUCACAGGAGAACGGGGAAUCCCUUCAUUCCUCAACCUUACUGGAAAUGCCCUCAUAAACCAGACUGCGUUCCUGUCAUUUUAGAUCGAACAUCAGGGGGACAAGCUGGAGAUGGCGAGAGAGAAACAUCAGGCUUCCCAGAAGGAAAAUAAACAGCUGAGUCAGAAGGUGGAUGAACUUGAGAGGUUAGAGGCACUUGGUCCCAUGUCUGUCCUCUUCCUAGGACCUGAGACUUUCUGCCACUUAGCUGCUUUGUGCUUAGUGUGCUGAAGUAUUGGAAGGACUCAAGGUCCUGGAAGGUACUAGGCAGAACUCAGAGGAAGAGCUGCUUGUGUUUCAGUGGUAAGCCUUGUGGACGAGAGGAAGGGGGGUCUCAGCCGGGAGAAAUGCUGUGGGGCCAUAUGAUCCAAGGACAGUCUUCUGGCAGGCGCCUUGUGGACGAGAGGAAGGGGGGUCUCAGCCGGGAGAGAUGCUGUGGGACCAUACGAUCCAAGGACAGUCUUCUGGCAGGCGCCAUUAUCUCAAGAAGACCAUCAGGCCUGCUUUGAGUGAAGCAGCCAGAGCACCCGCGUGCUGCUGACCAGCAUUUCUGUGACCUCCCUGAUCUUCCUACAGACUGUUAGAGACAGGCGUGGGUGAGGCUCACAGCACUUGUUGGCAUCAGAAGCCCUGGCUUCAGGUCCGGUUGAGAGACUUAACCUCCCUUGUGACCUUGGGUAGAUGCUUUAACUCUGCUGGACCUGGUUCCAGGUGUGAGGAAGGACGAACGUAGGAGUAGUGUGCCGCCUGAGACACAGCAGUCCUCAGUGAGAGGGUCUCAUAAAGGGCUCUCCUGCCUCACUCACAAGCUGGUUGUAUAUGGUUGCCAGCUGGUACUAUUAGUCCUAAUUAGUGACUUUUUUUUUUUAAGGAUAUACUUUAUUUUUGAAUUGUCUCUAUUUGUGAGUGUCUGGGAGUAUGUAUAGAUGCCCACAGAGGCUCAGAGCCUCUGCAGCUGCAGUUAUAGGCAGUUGUGAACUGCCUGAUGUGAGUCCUGGGACCUGAAGUUGGUUCGUCCUUUGCAAGAGCAGUGUGUGCUCUUAACCAUCAGGCCAUCUCUCUAGCUCUUAUCUUUUUUAACCCUAUUUUUAUUUAUUUAUUCCUAUAUAUUUGUACCCAGCAUAGUAACUGCAUAAGUGUAGGUAUUAGUGGACAACUUGUGGGAGUCAGUUCUCUUCUUUCACAAUGUGGGUCCUGUGGAUUGAACUCUGGCCAUGGUGCUUUUCAGCGAGCACUUUUACCCACUGAACCAUAGUUUGCCUGUCCCAUAGUUUGCCUCUUUGAAUCAGAGUGUAAGUUUGUGGCCUGCAACUCCACUUGCCUCAGCCACCUGAGUUCUGAGGUCAUAGGCGUGGAUGACCCAAAUGUUAUCUGUAAGGAAACCAAGCUCAGGCAAUGAUCAUAACACCAAGCUCAGGCAAUGAUUAUAACUUGCCCAGAUGCACACAGCUGGUUCCUACAAAUGAUGUUCCUUAAGCUGGGAACUCUUCUUCCAGAACCAUGGUGGCAUCUGCAAGCAGGGGACUAGGAUCCCAGAGUGGUAGCACACUACUAGUCCCAGUACUUGGGAGGCUAAGGCAGGAAGAUUGCUGCCAGCUAGAGACCAGCUUGGGCUGUGUUAUAAAACCCAGUCUUGGGAGAGAUGGCUCAGCAGUUAAGGGCACUGACUGCUCUUUCAGAGGUUCUGAGUUCAAUUCCCAGCAACCACAUGGUGGCUCACAACCAUCUGUAAUGAGAUCUAAUGCUCUCUUCUCAUAUGUCUGAAGACAGCUACAGUAUACUCAUACAUAAAUUUUUAAAAGAAAAAGUCGGAGGGCUAAGGGUCUUAGGGUCUUAAUUGCCUUAAAGGUCAGGGUAGCCUACAGUGGGUCAGAACCAGACGGCCUCUGCUAUGCCAAACUGACCCACAAACAUAGCUAGGUCCAACAGGACCUGCAAUGAGUGUUCUUUAAAGAUGAUGGUGUUCUGGAGGGACAGGAGAGAUGCUGUGUAAAGUAGGGUAGCCACAGCUGUCCUGUGUCUGUCACAUAAGGUACUGUGGCUCAGCUGAAGUCUCUUUGCUGAGCUGGGCUUUGGUGACAGACCUGUCAGCUCUGCUGCCCUCAGUCCUGUGUCUCCUGUUUCCUUCAGGCUUCACUUCCUUAUUCCCAGAAUGGGUUGGUGACAGCAGGCCUUCUGUGAGCUGCAGGUUGCUGUUCUCUGUGUGACACUAAGAAAGGGCCACCAUGUGCACUCAGUUGCACAUGCAGUCCUUUCCGCUCUCCCCACUGUCCUGUGACCCGCUGUUGCAGAUGCACAGUCCAGCAGCCACCUUGCUGAUUUGAAAAUGCUUUCCGUGAAGAUUGCUCAAGUGACAAGAUUCCCAAUUCAGGGGAGGCAGAAGCCCCCUGGCAGUGGAUCAAGGCAGGCAGGUCAUUGCAGGGUCUAAUGGAGUGCUCUCACCUAGGAAACUGGAGGCUACCAGCGCCCAGAAUGUCGAGUUCCUACAGGUGAUUGCCAAGAGGGAGGAGGCAAUCCACCAGGCUCAGCUGCGGUUGGAGGAGAAAACGAGGGAGUGUGGGUCAUUGGCGAGGCAGUUGGAGAGUGCCAUUGAAGAUGCCAGGCGACAGGUGGAGCAAACCAAGGAACAGGCACUCUCCAAGGAACGAGCAGCCCAGAGCAAAAUCCUGGACCUUGAGACUCAGCUGAGCAGGACCAAGACAGAACUUGGCCAGCUGCGGCGGACUCGUGAUGAUGCGGAUCGCAGAUACCAGAGCCGCCUGCAGGAUCUGAAAGAUCGCCUGGAGCAGUCUGAGAGUACCAACCGCAGCAUGCAGAAUUAUGUCCAAUUCCUCAAGGCCUCUUAUGCAAAUGUGUUUGGGGAUGCUCCCUAUACAUCCUCCUACCUGACGAGCUCACCCAUCCGCUCCCGAUCGCCCCCUGCCUGAGGCCACCUGUCCAGGGUGUGAUGCCCGUGCCUGACGCCAGACAACUGUGGAGUUAGCAAACCAUAGCUGGCAAGCCCACUCGUUUUCAAAUGUGCUCAGGGUCUGUUCCUCCACUAAUGCCAGGAAGGCUCCUAGAGCAGCCAGGGAUGAGUCAGGAACAAUCUGGUUAUCUUUCCUGACCUGGGAACCUGGUGGAAUUCUCUAAUCCUCACAGCCGUGCAUUUGCCACAUUAGGUACCAGAUUUUGAAAUCCCUGGAACUUUACAUACAGAGUCUGCUUCCUUUCCUCAGGGAAUGUUUGGACGGACUGUUCCAUGCAGACUCCUUCCAGCCCUCCUCUUUCCAGGCAUCUCUCUCUUGGGGUUUUUUGAGCUAAAGUUGCAGGAAUCCUUCUCCACUGAAUGCCUACAUUGCCUUUUCUUUCCUUUUUAUUUAUUUAUUUUUUAUUUUAUUUUUUUAAUAAAAAUAGAACUUUAUUUGUAUCAAGAAAUAGUGAAAACAGGUAAAUUAGUAUCUGAGGUAAAUUAGUCAGGGCUCAUGGAGAUGAGAUGUUCACGGCUCCCUUGCUCCUGUGGAAUCUGUAGCUACGAAUGUCAUGAAAAUAAAUACAUUGUUUGCGUCCCUCAUUACAUAGCAACUGGCAUAGUCCCAGCUACAGCAGGUGUGUUCACAAUGAACUGUUUGGACACAGACCUAACAGUGGCAAGUGUGCUUGUAACCAUGUGGUCUGGUUUCACAGUUCUGGGAACUGCAACUCCCAGCCUCUUACUCCAGGAACAAUACCCAACGGUGUCAUCCUUGCGCAGGGGCCAUGGUGAUCUGUAUUGUUCCAGCUGUAGUGGAUGCUCUGCUGAAGGGGAGUCAGCUUUUCUCCUCCUGGUGGGUCCUGCAGGAAGCAGUGUUCUCCUUGGUGCCCGGGGAAACCUCCCAUGUCUGUUUCCUAUAGGCCACUUGUUCCUCACGACCAUCCGGCCUGACAAUCAGAAUUCCUAUCUCAUUGCUUGUCAGUUCUCUUUGUAUCUCUGGGAUUCCUUUAUUUUUGAAAUUUUUGUGUGGUUUUACAGGAAAUAAAGUUUGUAUCACUA